rnacentral:rRNA from 1 species
GACGAACGCUGGCGGCGCGCCUAACACAUGCAAGUCGAACGGAGUUUGAGAGAGCUUGCUUUUUCAAACUUAGUGGCGAACGGGUGAGUAACGCGUGAGGAACCUGCCUUUCAGAGGGGGACAACAGUCGGAAACGACUGCUAAUACCGCAUGAUGCAUUUGGGCUGCAUGGCUCUGAAUGCCAAAGAUUUAUCGCUCUGAGAUGGACUCGCGUCUGAUUAGCUAGUUGGUGAGGUAACGGCUCACCAAGGCGACGAUCAGUAGCCGGACUGAGAGGUUGGCCGGCCACAUUGGGACUGAGACACGGCCCAG